UCUUACCCUUUGCAUACAUCUCACUCCCAGUGGGGGCGCCAUGUCUGCACUGAAUUGGAUCCACUGGGUUUCAGGAGUGUUAAGGAGGGGGUGGAAGACGUGCAGUGUUGGCGGGUCACCUCUCUCUGCAAAACAAGGGCCCUGGUCAAUCUCUUGGACGAAGGAGCUGAGGAGGGGGGCGAGGGGGCGGGUCUGUGCUCAGGGCAGGUGUGCUUGGUGCUUCCAGGCCCUGGAGAAGAAGGGGAUCAGCCACCUGGAGGAGAAGGAGCUGAAGGAGCGGAACAAGAGGAUCCAGGAGGACAACCGGCUGGAGCUGCAGAAGGUAAAGCAGCUGCGGCUGGAGCGGGAGCGGGAGAAGGCCAUGCGCGAGCAGGAGCUGGAGAUGUUGCAGCGCGAGAAAGAGGCAGAGCACUUCAAGACAUGGGAGGAGCAGGAGGACAACUUCCAUCUCCAGCAGGCCAAGCUGCGUUCCAAGAUCCGCAUCCGGGACGGGCGGGCCAAGCCCAUCGACCUGCUGGCCAAGUACAUCAGCGCCGAGGAUGACGACCUGGCCGUGGAGAUGCAUGAGCCCUACACGUUCCUCAACGGCCUCACCGUGGCCGACAUGGAGGACCUGCUGGAGGAUAUCCAGGUCUACAUGGAGCUGGAGCAGGGCAAGAACGCCGACUUCUGGCGGGACAUGACCACCAUCACCGAGGACGAGAUCUCCAAGCUCCGCAAGCUGGAGGCCUCGGGCAAGGGGCCAGGUGAGCGCCGCGAGGGGGUCAACGCCUCCGUCAGCUCUGAUGUGCAGUCGGUGUUCAAGGGGAAGACAUACAACCAGCUGCAGGUCAUCUUCCAGGGCAUCGAGGGCAAAAUCCGUGCUGGUGGCCCCAACCUGGACAUGGGCUACUGGGAGAGCCUCCUGCAGCAGCUUCGUGCCCACAUGGCGCGGGCCCGGCUGCGUGAGCGCCACCAGGACGUGCUGCGGCAGAAGCUGUACAAACUGAAGCAGGAGCAGGGCGUGGAGAGCGAGCCGCUGUUCCCCAUCCUCAAGCAGGAGCCCCAGUCCCCCAGCCGCAGCCUGGAGCCUGAGGACGCGGCGCCCACCCCGCCCGGGCCCUCCUCGGAGGGCGGCCCCGCGGAGGCCGAGGUGGACGGCGCGACCCCGACAGAGGGCGACGGGGACGGUGACGGCGAGGGCGAGGGCGAGGCGGUGCUCAUGGAGGAGGACCUGAUCCAGCAGAGCCUGGACGACUACGACGCCGGCAGGUACAGCCCACGGCUGCUCACGGCGCACGAGCUGCCACUGGACGCGCAUGUGCUGGAACCGGAUGAGGACCUGCAGCGCCUGCAGCUCUCGCGCCAGCAGCUCCAGGUCACGGGAGACGCCAGCGAGAGCGCCGAGGACAUCUUCUUCCGGCGGGCCAAGGAGGGCAUGGGCCAGGACGAGGCGCAGUUCAGCGUGGAGAUGCCGCUCACCGGCAAGGCCUACCUGUGGGCCGACAAGUACCGGCCACGCAAGCCGCGCUUCUUCAACCGCGUGCACACGGGCUUCGAGUGGAACAAGUACAACCAGACGCACUACGACUUUGACAACCCACCGCCCAAGAUCGUGCAGGGAUACAAGUUCAACAUCUUCUACCCCGACCUCAUCGACAAGCGCUCCACGCCCGAGUACUUCCUGGAGGCCUGCGCCGACAACAAGGAUUUCGCCAUCCUGCGCUUCCACGCGGGGCCGCCCUACGAGGACAUCGCUUUCAAGAUCGUCAACCGCGAGUGGGAAUACUCGCACCGCCACGGCUUCCGCUGCCAGUUUGCCAACGGCAUCUUCCAGCUGUGGUUUCACUUCAAGCGCUACCGCUACCGGCGGUGACGGCCCCGGGGAACGGCAGGCAGGUGUCCUCGGGGGCGCAGUAAAGGGGCUUCGGUGAAGCUGGUGGUCACUCCGGGGCCGCUGUCUGGGCUGCAGGGCCGCGGGUUCACGUCCCACCUCAGGCCGCAUCUUUCUCUCGCCAGGCCUCAGUUUCCCCCUAUAUAAAAGGGGGGUCACCAUUGAGCCUGCCAUGGUGAGCUGAGGAGACGCUGGGACAGGCUGGCCUAGGGUCCCGAUGCAACAGAGGGGGCGCUAGGGGCAUCUUCCGAGCACGAGGGUGGCCAGCAGCCGCCAGCUGACCUCACCGUCCAGGCGGACACUCUCCGCCGCCCCUCAGCCAGGCUGGGUGUGGGGCCC
rnacentral:sRNA from 1 species